UCUGGUACUUUCAGUGCCCGAGUUGUAAUUUGUAGAAUUUGUCUUUGAUUAGGUCCUUGUCUAUGUUCCUUGGAACAGGACGUCAUAGAGGGUGAGAAUCCCGUUUGGCGAGGAUACCUUUUCUCUGUAAGACUUUUUCGAAGAGUCGAGUUGUUUGGGAAUGCAGCUCAAAGUGGGUGGUAAAUUCCAUCUAAAGCUAAAUAUUGGCGAGAGACCGAUAGCGAACAAGUACAGUGAUGGAAAGAUGAAAAGAACUUUGAAAAGAGAGUGAAAAAGUACGUGAAAUUGUUGAAAGGGAAGGGCAUUUGAUCAGACAUGGUGUUUUUUGCAUGCACUCGCCUCUCGUGGGCUUGGGCCUCUCAAAAAUUUCACUGGGCCAACAUCAAUUCUGGCAGUAGGAUAAAUCAUUAAGAAUGUAGCUACCUCGGUAGUGUUAUAGCUUAUUGGAAUACUGCUAGCUGGGAUUGAGGACUGCGCUU
rnacentral:rRNA from 1 species